UACAGAGGGGGCAAGCGUUGUUCGGAAUUACUGGGCGUAAAGGGCGCGUAGGCGGCCUUGCAAGUCGGUUGGUGAAAGCCCGGGGCUCAACCCCGGAGGUGCGGCCGAGACUGCAGGGCUGGAGGCCGGAAGAGGAGGGUGGAAUACCCAGUGUAGAGGUGAAAUUCGUAGAUAUUGGGUGGAACACCGGUGGCGAAAGCGGCUCUCUGGUCCGGACCUGACGCUGAGGCGCGAAAGCGUGGGGAGCAAACAGG
rnacentral:rRNA from 1 species